CAUAAGUUCAUAUCAUUACAUGAAUUUAACUUAACAUUCCAAAAUCCUAAACAUGAGGGAUCCUUAAACUUAAACAAAAUCCACAGGUUUAGAUUCAUCGUCAACAUUUCAUUAGAUACAGAGUGGCUUAUACAACAAAUACAUAUAUGCUAAUAAAGAUCUGCCCAAAAUCUUCUAACUUUCUACUGCCUCAGCCCAAUCUUAACAUUUAAGCAAGCGAUACGCUAUCCUGAAAAAUUUAUCAACAAAUGGGGUGAGCAUAUAGAGCUCAGCAAGUGACUAACAUAUCCAUAUCAAAAUAGGGCAAUUUCCAAAGAGAUAAAGUUUCACAAUACAAGGUAGGAUAUAAGAACUAAUAGACAUAAUAUCAUUAGGUGCAGAAUCACAAGGUCAUUUCAAUCAAACAUACUUGGCUCAUAACAGAUGGGGCAUAGAGUAAUUGGAGCAUAUCAGUAAUAAAUGAAACAUUUCGGAGUUUAUCAAUGGUUUAUGAAAUGUUCCGGAGCAUAUCAACGGCAUAUGGAACAUUUUGAAGCAUAUCAACAGUGAAUGAAACAUUUCAGAGCAUAUCAAUAACAAAUACUGUACAGAAGCUCAAACGUCGUCUUUGAUGUUGCAAUCAUAACAUUCUUAUCCAAAGCAUGUACAGAAACACAUAACCAAAGCUCUGGAUAUCAUAUCAAACAUACAGAAGGUGUAGUGGGACCUCAGACAGAACGUGAUUCAUCCAUUUCUGAAUGACCACCAGACAGAAGUCUCCCACGUCUGGGAGCUCCAUCCACCCACGUCUAGGUGAAGCCAGAGGGGGCCGGCAGAGCAUCGUAGGCUCUAAACACAUACCCUUUACCAUUUCUGGCAAAGGUCCAGACAAUCCCACAAACACCAGAGUACAAGAGGGCAGUUUUAACAAUAAGUAGCAUAUAUCGGAAGCACACGCGGAAUAACAAAACGUACAUGUGCCUUUUCGAGACAAUACGAUGCAAGGAAUAAAUCUCUCACAAAUGUAUUCAGAUUUUGGAAUGAAAUGAAAGCAAGGGUAUACAGGGAUUCCAAGCAAUCAUAUUUAGCUCAAUUCAAAUAAGAAGGUUAGAUGAAUUCAAUAUCCAAAGGAAUGGAACAGAAUACGCGAAAUCGACCAAAGCUCAAUUUCUGACAGAAUUCAAGUGGCACAUAGAACAAAUACUUUAGAAUAUCAAUUAUGCUCCAAUACCCAUAAGAAAACUACUGUUGAAAUAUAUAUCAAUCUGUUUUCUGAUGAAAUAAGUUUCAUACGAAUCAAGGUUUCCAACAAGGAGUUACCAUAGAUUUAGUGACCAAAGGUCAAAGACUAAAUCACUGUUUUGCAGAAUCUAUAGGGCGGAAUCAACGGAUACCAGAAUAGGCUUUUGAAUUCCAAAUUUUUCAAUAUAUAUAUCAAAAGAAAUAUUUUCAAGUCUAGUUUCAAAUAAAAUCAGUUUGGUACAAAUCAGAAUUUCCAACAGGGAGUUAUAGGCAUUUUAGUAUCAAAAGGUCAGAAAUCUUGAUCCCUGUUUUGCAGCAUCCAUAGGCUCAUUUGAAACAGACAUUUGGGUAAGUAUUUGGAGUCCAAAUUUUUCAAAAUCAGUGUCAAAAGGAAGGUAUAAGAGUCUACUUUCAAAUAAACAAGGUCCUGCCUAAAUCCAUCUUCGGUACUGAAAACUAUGGCUGGAACAAUGUAUAGGGGUCAGUUUACCGAAAAAUUUCAGAUCCAUGAUUUUUGUAUCUAACAAGAGAAAUAUCCGGUUCUAGGCUGAAAUCUUUCGAAUAAUUCAGAAAAAAUAUGAGAUCAAAGGCUAAUAAUUCUGUAGGAUGGGGUUAGAACACUUGCCUUUGAGAAUUUUGACCCUAAGUGAGAAGAUUUGAGCAAGAAACCUUAAAGCCCCAAUUUUUUCUUCUUCUUCUUCUUCUUCUUCUUUCUUUCUUUCCCUGAUCAUCCACGCAGCUGCCUUCUCUGCUUCCUUAAGAACGAAGGCAGAGAGGCUUAAAUGGUGGGAUUUGUCAUUUUGUGUAUUUUGCAAUUUAG
rnacentral:lncRNA from 1 species